UGGCUGUCGUCAGCUCGUCGCCGUGAGGUGUUGGGUUAAGUCCCGCAACGAGCGCCAACCCCUAUUCUCAGUUGCCAUCACGUAAUGGUGGCACUCUGUGGAGACUGCCCGGGUUAACCGGGAGGAAGGUGGGGAUGACGUCAAGUCAUCAUGGCCCUUACGCCUAGGGCUACACACGUACUACAAUGGUGGGUACAAAGGGCAGACAAAACCGCGAGGUCGAGCGAAUCUCAAAAAACCCAUCAUAGUCCGGAUUGCAGUCUGCAACUCGACUGCAUGAAGUUGGAAUCGCUAGUAAUCCCCGGAUCAGCAUGCCGGGGUGAAUACGUUCCCGGGCCUU
rnacentral:rRNA from 1 species